rnacentral:lncRNA from 1 species
CUUGGUCAAAUGACCCUGCACGAAUAUGUGUUAUCACCCUCCCUUAAACUGUUAUUGCAGAAAUCAGUUUAGGAAUCAAUCUGCAAUGUUUUUCCUAAAGCAACCUUAACUUCCUUUGAUGAUCAGACUCCAAGCAUACUUUGUAGUUUUAUGAAACCGACUUGAGUGGUUUAGUCAAGAUAUCUGCAAUUUGUUCAUCACUUUUGCAAAACACAAAAUCAAUAACACCAUCCUUACAUAAAUCACGCAAAAAAGUGAUACCUCACAUCAACGUGUUUGCUUCUCCCAUGUAAGAUUGGGUUCUUUGACAGCUUUAUUGUUGGACGUUGUUGCUGGUUGUGUAGAACUUCAAGUAAUCUCCUCGGCCAAAUAGCUUGACAUGAACUUGAUGUUGUCGCAACGAACUCAGCUUCCGUAGUUGACAAUGUUAAGAUUUGGGGUUCAUCUUAAUAAGGUCAAUCUUGUUAAGAGGAGUGACUCAAGAUCUAUUUAAGUUGGUCAAUAUUUCAGUAUUUAAUCGAUGUGAGAUUUAUUCCCUUAAUAUGUCCCCACAAGAUGGUGGCUCUUUUUGAGCAAACCAAUCUUGAA